rnacentral:rRNA from 1 species
GUACGGAAUCUUAGAGAGUAGAGGAGUGCUCGAAGAGAGCCGUAACACAGGUGCUGCAUGGCUGUCGUCAGCUCGUGUCGUGAGAUGUUGGGUUAAGUCCCGCAACGAGCGCAACCCUUGUCAUUAGUUGCUUACAUUCAGUUGGGCACUCUAAUGAGACUGCCGGUGACAAACCGGAGGAAGGUGGGGAUGACGUCAAGUCCUCAUGGCCCUUAUAGUGGGGCUACACACGUCAUACAAUGGAUGGUACAAAGGGUCGCAACCCGCAGGGGGAGCCAAUCCCAUAAAGCCAUUCGUAGUCCGGAUCGCGGUCUGCAACUCGACUGCGUGAAGUCGGAAUCGCUAGUAAUCGUGAAUCAGAAUGUCACGGUGAAUACGUUCCCGGGCCUU